CCCGGCGGGCCCCGGCGCGCGUGCGUGGGGCAGGGGCGUGGCGCGGCGCGGGCGCGGCGGCGCCUUCGCCGGCCCCGCCCGCCGGGCACCUGCGGCUUCCGGCCGCUCUGCUGCCCGACGUGGAGCAGCCGCGCUGGAAGCUUGUGCAGGGAGACUCCUCGGAGGACGGGGCGGGGGAGGACGUGCGUGAACAGUAAGUGGCGGAAACCAGAUGUAGGUCCGCUUGUCCGGAGACAGGCUCCCGGAGAGCAGCUGGUCUGGCCCGAAUCCUGCCAGGAGCGGCUUUAUUUCUUGUGGCGGCCCUUGGAAGGGGCCUGGAGCGGUCUGAGCCGAACCUCCCCAGCCUGGCCGGGGUCCUGGCCGCUGGCGGCGCGCGCUCCUUUACGUCCAGCUAGUUCGCAUUCAGACUCCGCUCCGCAGCCGUCACGGAGCCCCGAGCGGCCCCGAGCGGCCCCCGAGCGACACCGCGCCGCGCGCGCUCCUCUCAGUUACGUUCAAUGACAGGAGAGAGCGCACAAGCAGGGGUAGUGGCAGGCAGAGGGAGAAGGAGAAGCAGGCUCCAUGCUCAGCGAUGUGGGACUCGAACCCAGGACCCUGGGAUCAUGACCUGAGCCGAAGACAGACGCUUAACCGUCUGAGCCACCCAGGUGCCCCUGUUUUUUUUUUUGUUUUUUUGUUUUUUUUAAAGAUUUUAUUUAUUUAUUUGACAGAGAGAGAGCACAAGUAGGCAAAGUGACAGGCAGAUGGAGAGGGAGAAACAGGCUCUCCGCCGAGCAGGAAGCCAGACGCGGGGCUCGAUCCCAAGACCCCAGGAUCAUGACCUGAGUGGAAAGCAGCCGUUUAACGGACUGAGCCACCCAGGCGCCCCUGUUGUUUUUUUUUAAGCAAACAUUUUUAUUUUAUUUUAUUUUUUAAGCAUUUUUAUUAGAUGUUUGUGCCAUGAUAUCAUACAUGUUUUCACCAGGUCACUGAAAUCAAAUCUACUUUUUCAGGGUCCAGUUGAUAUCCUAGAGACUUUGAUUUUACUGUUGUUUUUCCACUUUGCUUUUACUUUACAUCUUUUAUACUUUUAUUUCAUUUUACUUUCCAUUAUUCUGUCAUUUUCCAUCACAUCUUACAGAUCUAAAAAUAAGGGUUUUUUUUUAAAUGGGAUUAUGAUUUGCACUGAUUUUUUUACAUGAGUAUAGUUGACACAUGAUAUUAUUUUUCCUUUCAAAAUGUUAUGGGGCACCUGGGUGGCUCAGUCGGUGAAGCAUCUGCCUUCAGCUCAGGUCAUGACUAAGGAUCCUGGGAGCGAGCCCCAUGUCGGGCUUCCUCUCCUCCCCGCUCAUGCUCUCUCCCUCUCUCUCAAAUAAAUAAAUAAAAUAUUUUUUAAAAAUGUUAUAUCAACAUGUAAUGGGUGUAUCAUUUUAAAUGAAUUGCUAUUUUUUAAAUUCCUGAGUUUUAAUUCCUAAUGUGGUAACUGUCAAUCUAUAUAAUCCACAUAAGCAAAAAGUUUAUGAAACCAAAAAGUUGGUGAAGUUUUCUCAAAAGCCCCAGUACAUCCAUAAAAGAGAUGACAGCUGACCACACAGCCACUGAAGCCAUGCUUAUGACGUGGACAAGUGCUAACCUGUUACGAUGUGUAGUUCUCAGAGGUUUGAAUGUUGGCUUCCCUCAACACUGCUGAUGGGGCAAAUCCUCUCUGCAGGAAAGGAGUUUUGGUGGAUCGAGGUUUUCUUUCUUUGCACUUUGCAGUGAUUCAGUGAGCAUAUAUUACAUGUAUAACCAGAAAGAAAUAUUAAUGUCAUAAAAAUAAUGUCUACCCUGUUUUCCUCAUAGUGGACAUUUUGGAGAUUAAAAACAUUAUAAAGUGCCUUGAAAACUCAAGUUACUGUGCACUUAUUGAACCUGGGGGCGUUCACCUGAGGGUGCUCACUGGGGUGCUCACCAGGGGUGCUCACGGGGCAGGAGCUAUGCUUUCAAAUCAGCAACAUUCUCUAGAGUGAGGGGCACAUGUAGUAAGCACUCGCUAAAAUACACCAAUAAAUGCAUGAAUGCUUUAAAGUUAAUUAUACUGGGGCACCUGACUGACCCAGUCAGUGGAGCCUGCGACUCUUGAACUCAGGGUUCUAAGUUCAAGUCCCAUGCUGCAUGUAGAGAUUACUUUAAAAAAAUAAAGCUAUGAACUACAUAUCUACAGCUUCUGGUUUUGGUUGAAUCAUGUCCCCCAAAGAUAACGUUGACAUCUCAAUUCCCAGUAACUCAGAAUGAACCUUAUUUGGAAAUAGGGUUGUUGCAGGUAUAAUUAGCUAAAAUGAGGUCAUAUUGGAUUAGGGGGGCCCCAAUCCAAGGACUGGUGUCCCACAGAGAUAGAUACACAAAAAGGGGAGGUGGCCAUGUGACCACAGAGAUUGGCAUGACACAUGAACAAGCCAACGGACGCCAAAGAUUGCAAGUGUCCUGCAGAACACCAGCUCUGGUUCCCAAUCCCAGGGGAGGACCCCUGCCAAGUGGAAGAGAGCAAAGCUCUUCACAGCACCAGCCACCUGGGGUGGAGUCUGCCUCCUCUUGAGUGCUGGCUCUUCUCAGUGACGUGCUUCUGACACAGAGAAUGCGUGGGACUCUGCCCCCUCUCCCUCUCUGACAGCUCGCCCUGGGGGGCCAGCAGCCACGUGCUGAGAACGCCCACACAGCCCUGGGGAGCGUCCAUGUGGGAGGACCAGAGGCCGCCUGCUGACUCCGUGUGGGUGAGCUGACUUGAGGAUCCUCCACCCCAGUCCAGCCUUGGGGGGGACCAGAGGCUUAGCCGACGUCCCGACUGCAACCUGGGGAGAGUCCCUGAGCCUGACUGCCCAGCUCCUGAAUUCCUGAUUUAAGGACGUGGUGAGAUAAGGCGUGAUGUUCUAAGCCACCGCUUGAGGUAAUUUGUGACACAGCGUAGAUAACACAGGAUUGGCUCCCCAGGACUCCCACCUUUGCUUUUUUGUUGUUAGGGAAAGUGUGAUCGGUCUGUGAAGGGUUCCCCAUCCUUGCCCAAGUCAGAGGCUCCACGUGGUGACUGUUAGAAAUGCCGUCUGCCCCCUAAUACCUGCUUAGGGUCCCCUAAGAGUAAGCCCUGGCCUGUGAUCAGCCUGGUCCUCUGGGAACGCCAGGCGUGUGCUUGUAUGUGGCGUGUGUCCAUGUGCCCAGGAUACCGGCAUGCAGAACUCAUGCCUCAUAAAAACAACGCACUCCCUUUCUCUCCCACCUUUCUCCCAGUUUUUCCUCUUGCAGGUUUCUGAGGUCUCUGUCUUUUGGGCGGCUGUGUGUCCUGGAUUCUGACUUUCCCACCUCUCCCUGGGCAGGGGAAGGAGGGGAUAUGGUGAGAGGUCCUUGGAGCCUGGGGAAGUAGCCAGGACCGCCUGCCCCAGGAGAGGUCGGUCCCCACCUUGGGGCCAGGUCUGUGUCUGUGAACAAUCAGCUGCCCAAUGGGGGCCACAGAGCCACAGGUUACACCCCUGGGACCCGCUAGGACCCACUCCACAUCUGAGCAAGACCCACAGGACACUGCAGUGAGAAGGACAAGCCUCGGAUCUCGGACCCUCAUGAGUUCUCCGUUAGCAGCAGCCUGGGGCCCAGGCCAGCAGGAGGGCUCAGGCCUGGGGAGAGCGGGGACAGCCCCACCUGCCUGUGGGCCCUGCCUCCUCCUCCCUCACACCCCCACUGUCUCCUGGGGCUCCAGAGGGGAAAACAGGCUUGUGUGUCAUUUACACACUCACUCCUUAA